rnacentral:rRNA from 1 species
GACGAACGCUGGCGGCGCGCUUAACACAUGCAAGUCGAACGGAAAGGCCCUGCUUUUGUGGGGUGCUCGAGUGGCGAACGGGUGAGUAACACGUGAGUAACCUGCCCUUGACUUUGGGAUAACUUCAGGAAACUGGGGCUAAUACCGGAUAGGAGCUCCUGCUGCAUGGUGGGGGUUGGAAAGUUUCGGCGGUUGGGGAUGGACUCGCGGCUUAUCAGCUUGUUGGUGGGGUAGUGGCUUACCAAGGCUUUGACGGGUAGCCGGCCUGAGAGGGUGACCGGCCACAUUGGGACUGAGAUACGGCCCAGACUCCUACGGGAGGCAGCAGUGGGGAAUAUUGCACAAUGGGCGGAAGCCUGAUGCAGCAACGCCGCGUGCGGGAUGACGGCCUUCGGGUUGUAAACCGCUUUCGCCUGUGACGAAGCGUGAGUGACGGUAAUGGGUAAAGAAGCACCGGCUAACUACGUGCCAGCAGCCGCGGUGAUACGUAGGGUGCGAGCGUUGUCCGGAUUUAUUGGGCGUAAAGGGCUCGUAGGUGGUUGAUCGCGUCGGAAGUGUAAUCUUGGGGCUUAACCCUGAGCGUGCUUUCGAUACGGGUUGACUUGAGGAAGGUAGGGGAGAAUGGAAUUCCUGGUGGAGCGGUGGAAUGCGCAGAUAUCAGGAGGAACACCAGUGGCGAAGGCGGUUCUCUGGGCCUUUCCUGACGCUGAGGAGCGAAAGCGUGGGGAGCGAACAGGCUUAGAUACCCUGGUAGUCCACGCUGUAAACGGUGGGUACUAGGUGUGGGGUCCAUUCCACGGGUUCCGUGCCGUAGCUAACGCUUUAAGUACCCCGCCUGGGGAGUACGGCCGCAAGGCUAAAACUCAAAGGAAUUGACGGGGCCCCGCACAAGCGGCGGAGCAUGCGGAUUAAUUCGAUGCAACGCGUAGAACCUUACCUGGGUUUGACAUGGAUCGGGAGUGCUCAGAGAUGGGUGUGCCUCUUUUGGGGUCGGUUCACAGGUGGUGCAUGGCUGUCGUCAGCUCGUGUCGUGAGAUGUUGGGUUAAGUCCCGCAACGAGCGCAACCCUUGUUCACUGUUGCCAGCACGUUAUGGUGGGGACUCAGUGGAGACCGCCGGGGUCAACUCGGAGGAAGGUGGGGAUGACGUCAAGUCAUCAUGCCCCUUAUGUCCAGGGCUUCACGCAUGCUACAAUGGCUGGUACAGAGAGUGGCGAGCCUGCGAGGGUGAGCGAAUCUCGGAAAGCCGGUCUCAGUUCGGAUUGGGGUCUGCAACUCGACCUCAUGAAGUCGGAGUCGCUAGUAAUCGCAGAUCAGCAACGCUGCGGUGAAUACGUUCCCGGG